GUGUCAGCCGCCGCGGUAAAACGUAGGUUCCGAGCGUUAUCCGGAUUUACUGGGCGUAAAGCGUGUUCAGGCGGCUGGACAAGUCGGGCAUGAAAUCUCUCGGCUCAACCGGGAGAGGCUGUCCGAAACUGUUCGGCUGGAGGGCAGUAGAGGGUGGUGGAAUUCCGGGUGUAGUGGUGAAAUGCGUAGAUAUCCGGAGGAACACCAGUGGCGAAAGCGGCCACCUGGACUGUACCUGACGCUCAAACACGAAAGCUAGGGGAGCGAACGGGAUUAGAUACCCCCGUAGUCC
rnacentral:rRNA from 1 species